GACGUCAUUGAUAAGCAGAUACACUGACAGUGAAAACAUCCAUUACACGGUCAAAAUUCAUAUUUGUAACUGAACAAACUGUCUAGGAAAGCAUAGAAAAAAGCGGAAUAGUGUAUGUCCCUCUGGCACAGAAGGAGAUAUACGUAAAAACUUUACCAGAUUUAAGGCACCAGAAGAUAUGAUACAAGAGCUCGAGGAUGAUUCUAAGAUAGCAACUGCUGGAGUAUCUUUCACAGUAGACUUCCGGGAUGGGGAUCUUACCAGGUUGCCAUCUAGACUAGCAGACAGACUUGACGGAGCUAUUACACCUCCCGAGGACGACAACGAGGUAAAAUGCACAUCUGAGGAAAGACAACUAUUAGCAGAGCUUUUACGAAAUGAUGUUUUGCGCGAGAAGAAAGAAAAGGCCACAAAACACUCCGGAGCCCGGUUUUAAACAGGGACUUGGAAGUCGUAAAUCGAUUCGGAUGCUGAAAUUUCACAUUGGAUCUUUACGACACAUGCAUAUUCAAUCUGUUAUUGAUUUACUUUUGAAAAUUCAAAUGAUAUAUAUUACAUAUUUUAAGCACAG
rnacentral:lncRNA from 1 species